rnacentral:rRNA from 1 species
GAUGAACGCUAGCUACAGGCUUAACACAUGCAAGUCGAGGGGCAGCAUGAACUUAGCUUGCUAAGUUUGAUGGCGACCGGCGCACGGGUGAGUAACACGUAUCCAACCUGCCGAUGACUCGGGGAUAGCCUUUCGAAAGAAAGAUUAAUACCCGAUGGCAUAGUUCUUCCGCAUGGUAGAACUAUUAAAGAAUUUCGGUCAUCGAUGGGGAUGCGUUCCAUUAGGUUGUUGGCGGGGUAACGGCCCACCAAGCCUUCGAUGGAUAGGGGUUCUGAGAGGAAGGUCCCCCACAUUGGAACUGAGACACGGUCCAAACUCCUACGGGAGGCAGCAGUGAGGAAUAUUGGUCAAUGGACGAGAGUCUGAACCAGCCAAGUAGCGUGAAGGAUGACUGCCCUAUGGGUUGUAAACUUCUUUUAUACGGGAAUAAAGUGAGGCACGCGUGCCUUUUUGUAUGUACCGUAUGAAUAAGGAU